rnacentral:rRNA from 1 species
ACGCUGGCGGCGUGCCUAACACAUGCAAGUCAACUUGACUGAAGGAGCAAUCUGACAGUAGAGUGGCGCAAGGGUGUGUAACGCGUAAGUAACUUGCCCCAAGGUAAGGAAUAACGUCGAGAAAUCGGCGCUAAUACCUCAUAAUGCAGCGGAUCCGCAUGGAUAUGUUGUUAAAGGUUUACCGCCUUGGGAUAGGCUUGCGUCUGAUUAGCUAGUUGGUGUGGUAACGGCACACCAAGGCUACGAUCAGUAACUGGUCUGAGAGGAUGAUCAGUCACACUGGAACUGAGACACGGUCCAGACUCCUACGGGAGGCAGCAGUGAGGAAUAUUGGGCAAUGCUCGAAAGAGUGACCCAGCAACGCCGCGUGGAGGAUGAAGGUAUUCUAUAUCGUAAACUCCUGUGAGAGCAGACGAAAGACAGAUUAUUAAUCUGGAUGACUGUAUGCUCAGAGGAAGCCCCGGCUAACUACGUG